AGGGAGAAGAAGGGAAAAAUGUUAAAUACAGUUAAUGCAAUAUUAAUCGCCCUUUGGUGAUAUAAAAAGCAAUAUUUUCAGGCGGCUAUUGAGCUUUUUCGAGAGGCAAGAGCCGAGGAAAACAGGCACAGCUGAAGAGGGCAGAGAGAGAAGCAAAGAGAGCGCUUGAUGACCUUGUGAACCACUGCUUAGACUUUCCAGUGCUUCUGACUUUAAUAUUCUGCAUAAGAUUCACCAACCUCUUCUACAGAUGCUCAGCAUUCAAUCCUGGAGGCUCCACUUCAUCAUCAGUUUUCUUUGUGCAGGAAGGUGUUCCCCGCCUCAUGGAAGAGCAGUCACCAACCUGCAAGCCCCACACUUGCAGUGGCGGGAAGUGUUUUACUACCUGAUUCUACUGAUGGUGUAAACAGACCCUGAGAUCAACUUGCUGACGCAGGUGAAGGGCACAAGGAACGUGUGAAAGAGACCGGUGUAUGGAUCAGGAACAUCCAGUUCACUUCAAAAUGGAUUGACACUGUUAACUGAUUCAUGUAGCUGUUUCCUUAACCAAAAGCACUUAAAAUUAAGAACUGUUAAACCUGUCUCGAUCAUUCACAAUAAAUAAUUCAGUCAACUGAAUUUAACGUCCAAAAUAUCUACAAAGAGGUCACCAUUUGCUUAAUUAUUCAAUGAAUUUUAUAAUGAGCAUUUCUAAUUCUGUGCAAGUCUAUUGCUUCCAAGGCAGCCCUCUGAACGGAGCUUAGGCAAUGAGGCAGUAGUGCAUGCUGAAGAAAUACAAGCCAUUGCAUAUUCCCAUUGAAGUCAAUGGAGUCUUCACUAGUCAAGACCUGGCUUCAUGAAAUAUCCUUUCACUGACAGAACAUUUGCAAAUGAAUCUUCAGCUUGUCUGGGCAAAUGUAAAUCCAUUUCUCAUCACAUCUGUAAGACUAGUAAUAAGAAUAAAGCUGGGCAUAAGAGCAUAAGGAGAGCCCUGAAGGAUCAGACUAAAAUUCAUGUUAUAGGGACCAUCUUGCAGAGGCAAACCAGAUGCCCCCAGGAAACCCAUAAGCAGGGCAUGGGAGCAGUACCCCUCCCCAGCAGUUGCCCUCUCAGAAACUUUUAUUCAGAGGUAUAUUGCCUCUGAACUUGGAAGUUCCACAUAAACAUUAUCAAUAAGAGCCAGUGAUAAACCUCUCCUCCAUGAACUCAUCCAAUUCCCCUUUAAAGCCAUCUAAGCUGGUGGACCUCAUCAUAUCCCAUAGUAGUGAAUUCCAUAGGUUAAUUAUAUACUGUGCCAAGAAGUACUUUCUCUUGCCAAUCAAUUUUCUUGAAUGACCCCAAGUUCUAGCAUUAUGAGAAUCUUAUCUCUGUUCACUUUCUUCAUAAUUUUAUAAACCUCUGUCAUAUCCCCUCCCCAUCACAUUUAUGAAUUCAUGAAAAUAUAUAUGAUCUUGUGAAGUAUAUUGUACAAUUUUUAUAUAUCUGGAUAUUAUGUGAAGAACUGUGUGUUCCACUAUGUGUUAAAACAAAACAAAACAAAUCUCCACACAGAGGGAAACCAAAUUCGAUUACCUGUAUGUAUUAUGCAAAUUAAACAUAUUAACAUGCUUUGCUUGCUUUCUCACCUCCUCAUUUAGAGAGAAUGACGUUUGUAACCUGGAACAGCUGCAGAAUAGCUUGCUGUCAGAGUGGACAAUUUUGCAUAACUCAUUCUGCAACUUCUGCUGCUUUGCAUAGUUUAUGGUCAUUCGUAUUGGACCAACAAGCUAUGCAAGGUACUAAAGCCAUGUUCCUUGCCUCCACUGCGAAUAGUGGAAGUAGUGUUGCAUAAAUGCAGUUGUGCCAUUUUAACUCAGAACAGGACCGUUCUGUUCUGCAGCAGUAUUGUAUUACAUACAUGUUGUGUGCAGGUGGUGCUGAACUCCCCAUCUCUGCUCUGUAUGUGGGCCACAGAUAAAAAUGGUUUGCAUUUUAGGUACCAUAACUUUUACCUCUUUUGCUUAUGGAAUUCUGUGUAAUUGCUUAUAUAUUUUUGGGAUGAUGAUGAAGAAGACGACAAAAACUGCUACACUGCUAGAAAGCUAGACUUUUUUUGCAGCCCAGUAUACAUAUCUAGGAGGUCACGUUUCAUGUAAACUGUGACAGGAAAGGGUAAAGAGACAGGAGAGAUCUGGAAGAGUGAUUAGUCAUGAUCUGGCCCUGAAGAACUGUGGGUCAAGGAGUUGAGGGAACAGGGAGGUAAAGGAGCUGGCUGGGGGAAGAGGGUGAAAUAGCACAUUUUGAUGUACUGAGCUGAAAUAACCAGCCAAAUCUAUGGCUUCCUUCUGUACCACCAGCAUGACUGAUAACUGGUUUUCACAAAAGGUACACCUGGUAACAUGUCAUUCUUGUGUUAUCAAGGCACAGCAGUUCCCCAGCCAACAUCGUAUUUAAGUGGGGAAUUAGCCCAUACUGAAUACCUGAUCGCUGCGCACUUCAGAUGUUUAACAAAUGUUAUGAGCUCAAGUGUGCAUCUCAAAUGUAUAUUUAUAUUGUUGUGCAUUGUGUAAUGUGUCUUCGGGGUCCUAUUGUAAACAAGCUGUCAAGCUUAACUGGGUUUUCAUGCAAAAAUACCUUUCCAUAAAUAAAUUAAAAAUCCACUAAGAAGCCUUUCUUAAUGGCUCUGAUUAGCAGAUACCAGAGCUGAGCUGAAUAUUCACGUUUCUAAGCUCUAUCUCAACUCGCUGAUUUAAAUGCUCUCAGUUCAGACACGAAGGGUUCUCUGAACCUGCAAGCUUUAAAGCGGAAGUUUAUAUGGGCAUCCAAUGAAUAAAACAGCUGAGCUGAGUUAAAGGAAUGGUCAAUAUAAAUAAAGUUUUGUAAAAUACAAA